UACAGAGGUCCCAAGCGUUGUUCGGAUUCACUGGGCGUAAAGGGUGCGUAGGCGGUCGGGUAAGUUUGAUGUGAAAUCUCCGGGCUUAACCCGGAAACUGCAUUGAAUACUAUCCUGCUCGAGGUUUGGAGGGGGGACUGGAAUUCUCGGUGUAGCAGUGAAAUGCGUAGAUAUCGAGAGGAACACCAGUGGCGAAGGCGAGUCCCUGGACAACACCUGACACUGAGGCACGAAAGCUAGGGGAGCAAACAGG
rnacentral:rRNA from 1 species